rnacentral:lncRNA from 1 species
CCUUCACCCGGCUGCUUCCAGGGGUGCGCUCCCGGCGUGGAGGAGUGCUGAAGAAAAAGGGGAGAUAACACAAAAAAGCGCGUUUUCGGUUUCCUCCCCGCCUGGAAGGUGAGUGUUCACUGAAGUGCUGCUGCUCUCUCCUCCUGCCUCCUGCAGCGCGAGGGUCAGAGCGUCGCUGCGCAGCGCGUGCCUCCGUGGAGCGACGGCGAGUUGCAUGGCCCUCGGCCCGCUGCUGCCUUUCCCGGGAUCUUGGGCCUCUCCGGAGUAGUUUGGCCCUGCCUGCAGACUGAAUUGCAACAGAAGAUUCAACUUGAAGAAAAGCAGGAGUUGUGCAGAGUUGCACUCGAAAAAGGAUCCACUGUGGAAGAGGCCGAUGGUUUUUGUGGGAUCACUACUCCUGUUAGCCUGUUUCUGACAGCUGACCUCAUGGAAGUGUGGUGUGGCGUCACAGCCCGGAAAGUGGAUGUCAUAUUGACUCACAGUCAGAUUCCUGAUAGAUUUUAAUGGGUUGUGCACUUGAUCUCGCUACAGCAGUUCUGGUUGAAUGCCCUGCAGGUGCCCUCGCCUGUUCAGUCGGUGCCGGCCUGGGUAGGGACCGCUGCUGCCGAUGACGUGGAGUGGAAGGAUGUGCAUGCAUGUUAGCGUGUGUUUUGAGUGGGAAACCCUUAAAGUAGCUUUCACUGGGCCAUGUAAAAGUUUCUGAAACGCACAGGCGUGCACUCUGUGUGCGUACAGCUGUAAGAGUAGACACAAUAAAGCGUUGCCGAGUGGAUUGAGGGCUCUGCUC